AGCACAUGCGAUGUAAAUUAACCAAUUCGCUGAACAUAAGUGAUUAUUCCAAAAAAAAAAUCACCAUCUUUUGGUUGAGGUUGCU